AUGAGCUCCAGAAGCCUCGUCCGAUCCCCGGUGUCCUGUAGUGCUGUAAACGAAUGCUUUUCCUACAAUUCACGCCGCCCAAGAAGCUACUAUCAGUAUUCUAAUACCAUGAAGCUACAAACACCGCAAGCUGGCCAGAUGCUUUUGCCUCGCAAAUUAUGGAAAUCUACUCGAUUGCAGACCACCCUUCUCACCCAGAGGCGGACUGUAUCAAACUGUUGCUCUGACCUUAGUACCACUUACACAGAGCAACUUCCCAGCUAUUUAGCACUUAAUGUUUUGCAAGACCAAUCAAAUGCGAAACAAAACAAUAUUCGUAAAGUCCUUGUCAUCCUGAACCCUAAUUCUGGAUUCCGUAGCUCUCGUGAGGUUUUCUACAAGAAAGUGCAAGCAACACUGAAGCUUUCAGGCUUCGCGAUGGAGGUUGUUGAAACAGCGUAUGCUGGUCAUGCAAAGGUGCUUGCUUCUACUGUUGACCUCAGUACAUGCCCUGAUGGCAUUAUCUGUGUUGGGGGUGAUGGAGUCGUAAAUGAGGUUUUGAAUGGUUUACUUGGUAGAGACGAUUUGAAAGAGGCGCUUCAACUUCCUAUUGGGAUAGUUCCUGCUGGUUCCGAUAAUUCAUUAGUAUGGAGUGUUCUUGGCAUCAGGGAUCCUGUGUCAGCAGCAACUGCUUUAGCUAAGGGUGGUUUCACACCGAUUGAUGUGUUUGCUGUAAAAUGGAUCCAAGCUGGAGUUACUCAUUUCGGUUUGACGGCUUCCUACUGUGGUUUUGUAGCUGAUGUUCUGCAAUUAUCUGAAAACUUCCGCCUGCAGCUUGGGCCCUUCCGUUACGUCAUCGCUGGCAUUCUUAAGUUUUUGUCCCUGCCCCAAUACAAAUUUGAGGUGGAUUAUCUAUCACCAGAGAAAAAUCCUAACUUGGAGUCACCGAUUGAAAAAUGCCAUGGCCAGCUUUCUGAUGACAGCAAGGUUAAGAGUGGUACUUAUAUGGAUAGUAGCACUGGAGAUAAUUGGGUUACGAUGAAAGGGGAGUUUCUUGGCAUUUUGGUCUGUAACCACUUCUGCAAGCCUGCCCAGGGGUUAUUUUCUCCAGUUGUUGCACCAAAAGCUCAGCAUGAUGAUGGCAGUCUGGACUUGAUUCUUGUACAUGGAAGUGGAAGACUCAGAUUAUUUUGCUUCUUUGUUGCCUAUCAGUUUUGCUGGCAUCUUCUACUCCCUUUUGUGGAAUAUGUCAAGGUAAAACAAGUAAAUGUUAGGCCAGUGGGCAGUACCCACAGUGGUUGUGGUGUCGACGGCGAGCUUCUUCAGGCGGAAGGCCAACCAGAAUGGCAGUGCUCUCUGCUCCCAGUACAAGGCCGGUUGCUUGGCCGGCAUCCCAGAACAUAG
rnacentral:rRNA from 1 species